rnacentral:rRNA from 1 species
GACGAGGGAUCCUAGCGUUGUUCGGAAUCAUUGGGCGUAAAGCGGGUGUAGGUGGCUUUGUAAGUCAGAUGUGAAAGCCCAGGGCUCAACCCUGGAAGUGCAUUUGAUACUGCGAAGCUUGAGUGUGGGAGAGGAUAGUAGAAUUGUUGGUGUAGUGGUGAAAUACGUAGAUAUCAACAGGAAUACCGGUGGCGAAGGCGGCUAUCUGGCCCAACACUGACACUCAGACCCGAAAGCGUGGGGAUCAAACAGG